rnacentral:rRNA from 1 species
UUGCACCUGGUGGCCUGUGGCGAACGGGUGAGUAAUAUAUCGGAACAUGUCCGGAAGUGGGGGAUAACGUAGCGAAAGUUACGCUAAUACCGCAUAUGCCCUGAGGGGGAAAGGGGGGGAUCGCAAGACCUCUCGCUUUCGGAGUGGCCGAAUCAGAUUAGCUAGUUGGUGGGGUAAAGGCCUACCAAGGCGACGAUCUGUAGCUGGUCUGAGAGGACGACCAGCCACACUGGGACUGAGACACGGCCCAGACUCCUACGGGAGGCAGCAGUGGGGAAUUUUGGACAAUGGGCGCAAGCCUGAUCCAGCCAUGCCGCGUGAGUGAAGAAGGCCUUCGGGUUGUAAAGCUCUUUCAGCCGGAAAGAAAUCGCACUGGAUAAUACCUUGUGUGGAUGACGGUACCGGAAGAAGAAGCACCGGCUAACUACGUGCCAGCAGCCGCGGUAAUACGUAGGGUGCGAGCGUUAAUCGGAAUUACUGGGCGUAAAGCGUGCGCAGGCGGUUUUGUAAGACAGACGUGAAAU